rnacentral:lncRNA from 1 species
AGCGUCUGGGGACAGCGUGUUGGGCUGUGGGGAGGUUACCGAAAGGAAACGGGCCGAGUCCAGUUGUUUGAGCGGUUUUCUCCUUCCACGAGCGUGUGUGAAAAAGCGCGGAGUUCGGUGGAGGGCAGCUGCCAGGACUGCCUCCUGGACUGGGUAAUUGUACAUUUUUUCAUCCUACAUCUCAAGAGACCAAGGGACCUAAGUAAAUUGAUCUACUUGCCAAUGACUGUAAGAAAGACAAAGAAGUUGUAAAAACAUCCAAAUGAUGUUAAACAUAAAUUAGCUCAGAAUAGUUUGCAGAAGAUAAACUACCAGCGUCAAAGCAUGCAUUAAAAACUGGAAAGAAAUUAAAAGUGUGGUAUUGAAAGAUGUACAACUGACUUUGGAAAAAGGAUUCCUCUCUAAUUGGUGUUUGUAAGUGAUCGAAAUAAACAUUUUUAAACUA